UUAUCUUCAAAUUCUAAACUCUUAAGUGGAACGAUCAAUUAAGGGGGAGAAAGAAAAUUUCAGAAGAAAAGAUCAUAUGGAACUUAAUCGCAUAAAUCCAUAACUAAAGGAGAGAGAAAGUAUACUAAAUGAAAAGUGAUCCUAAUACUCUCCAAUAUGUAUCAUCUGAAAUUUAAAUCUGAAAAUCUUUAUGAUACACCUUGAGGCUUGUUAUUUGGUUAAUAUAUCUUAUGCAUCAAUCAUGAACCAAAUUGCAAUUCAAAUAGUUGAUCUUAAGAGCCUCUAAUUAAUGAAAAAGGGGGAGAAUAAUGUGUUGAAUUUUCUUGAGUAUCUCUUAGAAAAUCUAUUUUGAAAUUCACUAAUGAGUCCUAAUUGGNNNNNNNNNNNNNNNNNNNNUUUAGUGCCAAUUCAUAUUUUUAUGUAUCAAAUUGUGCUUAUUUUUUAAGGAAUAAAAGAAAGUCUUUAAAAGAACUCUAAAAGAACUUUCAAAGCUUUGCAUUUUAUGUAUGCUCUAAGAUAUAUCAUAAAUUUCAUGAAUUCAUAUUUUGAUAUGUAUGCC
rnacentral:lncRNA from 1 species